GGUUACUGGGGACCGGGAGUGUUUCUGAGCGCUGGACCGGCGGGACAAUGAAGAAACGAGCUAUUCCAGUGCUUCUACUGGCAGUGAUGACGGUGGCAGGCGUGAAUGGUGAAGAUCUGGAUGAUAAUGUCGUGGCAAAAAUGAUGGACAUUAAUAUAUUACCAGAAGGGAACGA